rnacentral:rRNA from 1 species
UACGUAGGGUGCAAGCGUUGUCCGGAAUUAUUGGGCGUAAAGGGCGCGUAGGCGGCUCUUUAAGUCAGAUGUGAAAACCCAGGGCUUAACUUUGGGAGUGCAUUUGAAACUGAAGGGCUCGAGUGCAGGAGAGGUAAGUGGAAUUCCUAGUGUAGCGGUGAAAUGCGUAGAUAUUAGGAGGAACACCAGUGGCGAAGGCGACUUACUGGACUGUAACUGACGCUGAGGCGCGAAAGCGUGGGGAGCAAACAGG